rnacentral:rRNA from 1 species
AUUGAACGCUGUCGGCAGGCCUAACACAUGCAAUUCGAACGCGUGGCGGACGGGUGAGUAAUGUCUGGGAAACUGCCCGAUGGAGGGGGAUAACUACUGGAAACGGUAGCUAAUACCGCAUACCAUCGGAUGUGCCCAGAUGGGAUUAGCUAGUAGGUGGGGUAACGGCUCACCUAGGCGACGAUCCCUAGCUGGUCUGAGAGGAUGACCAGCCACACUGGAACUGAGCCACGGUCCAGACUCCUGCGGGAGGCAGCAGUGGGGAAUAUUGCACAAUGGGCGCAAGCCUGAUGCAGCCAUGCCGCGUGUAUGAAGAAGGCCUUCGGGUUGUAAAGUACUUUCAGCGAGGAGGCGUUACUCGCAGAAGAAGCACCGGCUAACUCCGUGCCAGCUGCCGCGGUAAUAC